UACGUAGGGUGCGAGCGUUGUCCGGAAUUACUGGGCGUAAAGAGCUCGUAGGCGGUUUGUCGCGUCGUCCGUGAAAACUUGGGGCUCAACCCCAAGCUUGCGGGCGAUACGGGCAGACUUGAGUACUGCAGGGGAGACUGGAAUUCCUGGUGUAGCGGUGAAAUGCGCAGAUAUCAGGAAGAACACCCGUGGCUAAGGCGGCUCUCUAGUACGGUACUGACGCUGAGACGUGAAAGCGUGGGGAGCGAACAGG
rnacentral:rRNA from 1 species